AAUUCGUGCAAGUUUAAGUCAAUCAACGAGUCCAUGGUCGUCUGCUAAAACACAGUGUGCCCCUCUUGGAUCCCAAACUUCCUUCAAUGUCUCAAAUGAUUCAAUAGUUCUCUCCAAUCGCUCGGCCACAGAUGGGGUAUUUUGGAUAGGAGCUUAUGUGGAACAUACAAAAUGGAUAAAGAUUCUUGGUUGUCACUACGUCGGCCUCAUUGUCUCAAGCCCAAUCCAAAACAGCAGAGUACUGGAGACACAUGAUGUGAAGUCCUGUCAUGACUAUUGUAAAGGCGCUACGGUUUUUGGUCUAGGUUCUAAUAGCUGCUACUGCUACGGAGGAAAUUUCUCUUUAUCUCAAAUCAGAAAGUGUGUACCUCAGAAGUGUUCCGGAUCUCAGAACGAUUUUUGUGGCGUCGACUAUAAUGUUGUUGUCUAUCAAAUAGUUUCUUCACAGUACCAGGGACUGGGGGAGUGUCUAGCCUCUGGUUAUAAUGGCGAAUAUAACACUACCGGUGCCCAGUAUUUCUG